rnacentral:rRNA from 1 species
UACGGGGGGUGCAAGCGUUAGUCGGAAUUACUGGGCGUAAAGAGUGCGUAGGUGGUUUGAUAAGUUAGCUGUGAAAUUCCUGGGCUCAACCUAGGGUGGUCAGCUAAGACUGUUAGACUCGAGUAUGGGAGAGGGUAGUGGAAUUUCCGGUGUAGCGGUGAAAUGCGUAGAGAUCGGAAGGAACACCAGUGGCGAAGGCGGCUUCCUGGCCUAAUACUGACACUGAGGCACGAAAGCGUGGGGGAGCAAACAGG